AGAAAGUAAGCAAGGGCAGACGGUGGAUGCCUUGGCUCUCGGAGGCGAUGAAGGACGUGAUAAGCUGCGAAAAGCUCGGGGGAGGCGCAAAUAGCCCUUGAUCCCGGGAUAUCCGAAUGGGGCAACCCGGCAGGCUGAAGGCCUGCCAUCCCGUAAGGGAGGCGAACGUGGGGAACUGAAACAUCUAAGUACCCAUAGGAGGAGAAAAUAAACAAUGAUUCCGUAAGUAGUGGCGAGCGAACACGGAAGAGCCCAAACCCGUGCCGUCUAGGCGACACGGGGGUUGUAGGACCACGACGUGGCAAGAUAGAGUCAAGUGGAACGCCUUGGAAAAGGCGACCGUAGAGGGUGAUAGUCCCGUACACGACUGACGAUUGAAGCCUAGUGGCAUCCUGAGUAGCGCGGGGCACGAGAAAUCUUGCGUGAAACUGCGGGGCCCAUCCCGUAAGGCUAAAUACUCCCGAGAGACCGAUAGCGAACCAGUACCGUGAGGGAAAGGUGAAAAGAACCCCGAGCAGGGGAGUGAAAUAGACCCUGAACCCGUCUGCCUACAAGCGGUCGGAGCAUCGUCAAGAUGUGACGGCGUGCCUUUUGCAUAAUGAACCUACGAGUUACCUUCCCCGGCAAGGUUAAGUACCUAAGGUACGGAGCCGAAGCGAAAGCGAGUCUGAAUAGGGCGGCCAGUCGGGGGGGGUAGACGCGAAACCGAGUGAUCUACCCUUGGCCAGGUUGAAGGUUGGGUAACACCAACUGGAGGACCGGAUGGGUAAGCGUUGAAAAGCUUUCCAAUGAGCUGAGGGUAGGGGUGAAAGGCUAAUCAAACUCGGAGAUAGCUCGUACUCCCCGAAAUGCAUUUAGGUGCAGCCUCUUUAUAGUAUAUCGUGAGGUAGAGCGACUGAUUGGAUGCGAGGGCUUCACCGCCUAUCAAGUCCAGAUAAACUCCGAAUGCGCGAUAUAUAUUUAAAGGGAGUGAGGGCGCGGGUGCUAAGGUCCGUGUCCGAGAGGAGAAGAAUCCAGACCACCGGCUAAGGCCCCCAAAUGAUCGUUGAGUUGAACUAACGAGGUCGGAUCGCAGAGACAGCUAGGAUGUUGGCUUGGAAGCAGCCAUUCAUUUAAAGAGUGCGUAACAGCUCACUAGUCGAGCGAUCUGGCGUGGAUAAUAAUCGGGCAUAAACGAUCUGCCGAAGCCGUGGAUGUCGUAAGACAUGGUAGGGGAGCAUUCCAUGGGCGUCGAAGAUGAGGGAAGACCCUUGUUGGAGCGCAUGGAAAAGCAAAUGUAGGUAUGAGUAACGAUAAGGGGGGCGAGAAACCCCCCCGCCGAAAGACCAAGGUUUCCUGAUCAACGCUAAUCGGAUCAGGGUGAGUCGGGACCUAAGGCAAAGCCGAACGGCGACGCCGAUGGAAGAAUGGGUUAAUAUUCCCAUACUGCCUCAUGGAGUGACGUGGAGACGGAGAAGUGACAGUCCUGCCGGCUGACGGAAUAGCCGGUUGAAGGGUGUAGAUAUUGAUUCCCGUAGGCAAAUCCGCGGGGAGAGUCGAACCUGACAGUAUACCGAGUACUUGUACGAGGUAAUAUGGACGUAACCAUGCUCCCAAGAAAAUCCGCUAAACUUAUCCAUGCGGCACCCGUACCGUAAACGGACACACGUGGUCGGGUUGAGAAUACUGAGGCGCUCGAGUGACUCACGGUUAAGGAACUAGGCAAAUUGACCCUGUAACUUCGGGAUAAAGGGUCCUCGUCGUAAGGCGAGGCGCAGAGAAUAGGUCCAGGCAACUGUUUAACAAAAACACAUGGCUGUGCUAAAUGGAAACAUGACGUAUACAGCCUGACACCUGCCCGGUGCUGGAAGGUUAAGAGGAGAUGUCAUCGCAAGAGAAGCGUUGAAUUGAAGCCCCAGUAAACGGCGGCCGUAACUAUAACGGUCCUAAGGUAGCGAAAUUCCUUGUCGGGUAAGUUCCGACCUGCACGAAUGGUGUAAUGAUCUGGACACUGUCUCAACCGUGAGCUCGGUGAAAUUGUAGUAUCGGUGAAGAUGCCGAUUACCCGCGAUGGGACGAAAAGACCCCGUGAACCUUUACUAUAGCUUUACAUUGAAUUUGGGCAGACGAUGUGUAGGAUAGGCCGGAGGCUUUGAAGGGGGUACGCCAGUAUCCUUGGAGCCGCCGUUGAAAUACGGCCCUUCGGUUGUUUGAGUUCUAACUCCUAGGCAGGAGGACACUGUAUGGUGGGUAGUUUGACUGGGGUGGUCGCCUCCAAAAGCGUAACGGAGGCUUCUAAAGGUGCCCUCAGACCGAUUGGUAACCGGUCGCAGAGUGUAAUGGCAUAAGGGCGCUUGACUGGGAGAGAUACAACUCGAUCAGGUAGGAAACUAGAGCAUAGUGAUCCGGUGGUUCCGCAUGGAAGGGCCAUCGCUCAAAGGAUAAAAGGUACUCCGGGGAUAACAGGCUGAUCAUUCCCAAGAGCUCAUAUCGACGGAAUGGUUUGGCACCUCGAUGUCGGCUCGUCACAUCCUGGGGCUGGAGAAGGUCCCAAGGGUUGGGCUGUUCGCCCAUUAAAGUGGCACGCGAGCUGGGUUCAGAACGUCGUGAGACAGUUCGGUCUCUAUCUAUCGUGGGCGCAGGAGAUUUGAGGGGCUCUGACACUAGUACGAGAGGACCGUGUUGGACGUACCACUGGUUUACCGGUUGUCCCGCCAGGGGCACCGCCGGGUAUCUAAGUACGGAUCGGAUAAGUGCUGAAAGCAUCUAAGUACGAAGCCGGCCUCAAGAUUAGAUCUCCCUCAAGGGUGGUUAUAGACGAUGACCUUGAUAGGCCACAGGUGUAAGGGCGGCGACGUCCGAGCCGAGUGGUACUAAUAGCCCGGGACUUUCCUCA
rnacentral:rRNA from 1 species